AAGAAUCUGGAGACAGGUGCUGCAUGGCUGUCGUCAGCUCGUGCGUUGAGAUGUUGGGUUAAGUCCCGCAACGAGCGCAACCCUUGCCUUUAGUUGCCAGCAGUUCGGCUGGGCACUCUAAAGGGACUGCCGGUGUUAAACCGGAGGAAGGUGGGGAUGACGUCAAGUCAUCAUGGCCCUUACGGCCUGGGCUACACACGUGCUACAAUGGUCGGUACAAAGGGUUGCCAAGCCGCGAGGUGGAGCUAAUCCCAUAAAACCGAUCGUAGUCCGGAUCGCAGUCUGCAACUCGACUGCGUGAAGUCGGAAUCGCUAGUAAUCGUGAAUCAGAAUGUCACGGUGAAUACGUUCCCGGGCCUU
rnacentral:rRNA from 1 species